CUGCCGACUUUUCUUUCACUUUCACUUAGAGCAAGAUGGCAGCCCGCGUCCCUGUGUGAAGCCGUCUGCAGCAGCUGCCAGAGCCCUGCUUGCUGUUUCCUUUCUCACCACCCACCUCACCCGGAAAUCCCCUGGUGAUUUCAAGACCUGACCUCUGCACCCUUUUGCUCCCCACCUGUCCCAAAAAAGUGGAGCUAUAACUGUGGGAAAAGGGGAUCUGAAGUCAGACACAGGAUCCACAGUAGCCUGGGGACCUUUCUCACCCCCGCCCUUAAGCAGGCCCCAACAUAACCGGCUGAGAAACCUCCUCUGCCAGAUCCUGACCUGAGCCAGGAGGCGGCCAGGAAACUGGAUUUUGGGACUGGGAUUUCAGAGAGGAAGCUGGAGAGCUGCAGGGUGGUCAUCUGUCACUUUAUUUUGCCCGUCUUGUAGCAUUCUCGAAAAGGCACUCUGUCACGUGUACACAGGAAAGGGCCCUGACAAGAGGAUGGGACUGCAGUUGUGGCUGCCAGGGCCCCGGCCAGGGUGAAAACAAGGAACAUUCCAGAGAAGAUCACAAGGAUGCGAAUAAAAUCGGAGCUGCACAGGGAUCUUUGGGCUGUAAUAGGAGGGGACACACAGGGGUUAGGGGAGGGUCUAGCCCUUGGCUCCCUCAGCCCAGCCCUCCUGUCACCUUGCCUCUCCCCUUUCCCCCACCUUAUUCUAUCCCACCCGCCACCGUUGGCCAACUCCUCUCCUAAACAGUGGACUCUGCUUUUUCCCCUCCUCUUAUCCCUAAUCCUAGGAGCUUUCUGUCUGGCUUCCCUCCUGGCCCCUCGUGUAUGCAUUCUCUCUAGCGGUGGGGAUUAAGGAGAAAACUCACGUGGCCAGUGGGUAGAGAGAGUCCGGGCAGGCAGCUGCCUGAAGUCAGCCAGAGUCUGCAUGUGCCCAGCUGUCCUGGCCUCCAGCAUCUCUGGAAAAACAGAGACAGAAUGAGUAGCAGCAGGGGACCCCAUAGGGCACAUCUGAAGGCCUGAGAGGUUGGAGUGCAGUGGCACGAUCUCGGCUCAGUGCAACCUCCGCCUCCUGAGUUCAAGUGAUUCUCCUGCCUCAGCCUCCCUAGUAGCUGGGAUUACAGGACAAGGAGAGGGACAAAUUCCUUCUUGGCAUCCUUAUGGCCCUGUGACCUGCUAAUGAAUGCUGACUCUGAGUUGCUACUAGAAUUUGGUUUCCUUGUGGCUUCCCAGGAAUUGUGAGCCAUGUUGGAUAAGGACCUGCAAGGGAAGAAUGAGGAAGCCUGGGACAGUGCAGGAGGGGAGAGCACUGGUGGUAGAGAGGAGUGAUGACAAGGGUCUCCGCCAAAAGGGAAAUGGAGGGGUUAAAGAAGCUGCUGGGGAGGGUUAAAAACAAUGUGUUCUCACUCGUAGGUGGGAAUUGAACAAUGAGAACACUUGGACACAGGAAGGGGAACAUCACACACUGGGGCCUGUCGUGGGGUGUGGGGAGGGAGGAGGGAUAGCAUUAGGAGAUAUACCUAAUGUAAAUGAUGAGUUAAUGGGUGCAGCACACCAACAUGGCACAUGUAUACCUAUGUAACAAACCUGCACAUUGUGUACAUGUACCCUAGAACUUAAAGUAUAAUUAAAAAACAAAACAAAACAAAACAAAAACAAUGAGGUGCUAUUGUUUUAGUGGUGAGUAUCCGGAGACCUGGGAGUUCUAUUUACCAGGUAUAACCUGGGCUCAAAAUUCCAGGCUGACUUCAGGCAUGUCCUCAUCUCAUAGAUGCCAGCACUAAGGCCCAGAGAGGGCCGAGCUCAUUCAGCCCACCCAUCUUCUCACCCCUGACUGCAUUUCCCGGGGGUCCUUCUGCAGCCAGGUGCUGCUGUGGUACUUUGGGAUCUAUUGGCUGAGCUCCCAGAGAAGGGUCAUGGAUUGGGCUAGUUUGGAACAAGUGAAGGGACUGAAGAUGGGCUCAGUAUGGGGCGAAGACCUUCAGGAAGGGUCUGCAGAGUGAGUAGGGGGGUUUUGACUAGGAAAAGUUCCAACCCUGCCGGGGCCGCUGUCAAGAGAAAAGCAUCUAUUACAGUUACAUUUUUAAGUUAAGUAGACUGAAGAAUAUUUCUUGUGUAUUAAAGACGUUCCUUUUUGGUUGAUUUGCAAUGGAAAAGCUUUUGUUUUCUUUUUUUUUUUGGAAACAGGGUCUCACUCUGCUCACUCUGUCUCCCAAGCUGGAGUGCAGUGGUACAGUCACGGCUCACUGCAGCCUCCACUUCCUGGACUCAAGUGAUCUUCUCACUUCAGCCUUCUGAGUAGCUGGGACUACAGCCCCCUCUGCAGCUCUUCAUGGGGGUCCACUCAAGUCAGAAGCCACAUUUGGGUGUGAUUCAGAGAGCUGUUUAUGCAAAACCAGCUUUGUCACCAUCAGGCAAGGCACCUGAAUUCCCACCGCAGAGAGUGUUGUGGCCGUGAGGACUUUUCUGUCACCAGCCAUUUCCAGGUAGACCCAGUGUAAUCACAAGCAUCCUUGUAAGUGGCAAAGAGGCAGAGGAGACAGCGCCAGAGAGGCAGCUGCAUGAGAAGGAUCAAGAUGUUGCUGACUUUGAAGUUGGAAGAAGAAGGCCAUGAGCCUCAGUAUGUGGGCGGCUUCUAGAAGCUGGAAGGGGCAAGGAGAUGGAUUUGACCCUUCAGCCUCCAGGGGCAGCUGUACCUGCCAUCACUGAUUGUAGCCUGGUGAGGCCUGUUUUAGACUUCUGACCUGUAGAGCUGUAACAUAAUACAUUUGGGUUGUUUUCAACCACUAAGUUUGUGGUAAUUUGUUGUAGCAGCUGUAGAAAAUGAAUACAUAUGAAUCCUCUGGCAUUUGUUUGAGAUUUGCUCUAUGGCCUAGUAUGUGGUUGUAAAUGUUCCAUCUGUGCCUGAAAAAAUGUAUAUUUCUAAUUCAGUAGUCUCUGCUUUUUUUUUUUAUUUUGUACCCCAUCAAUAAAAUGAUUUUCAGCAUGUAUCCCCAAAUAAACAAUAUUUUAUUUAUUGAUUGAUUGAUAAACAGACAUGUUUAAUGAUAGCUUGCUUUUCACAGAGGUGACUUCGGAGACUUCUAAUCUAUAAUCCAGGAGUAUAUAACCAUG
rnacentral:lncRNA from 10 species